AUGAACGCUGGCGGCGUACCUAAUACAUGCAAGUCGAACGCUUUGUGGUUCAACUGAUUUGAAGAGCUUGCUCAGAUAUGACGAUGGACAUUGCAAAGAGUGGCGAACGGGUGAGUAACACGUGGGAAACCUACCUCUUAGCAGGGGAUAACAUUUGGAAACAGAUGCUAAUACCGUAUAACAAUGACAACCGCAUGGUUGUUAUUUAAAAGAUGGUUCUGCUAUCACUAAGAGAUGGUCCCGCGGUGCAUUAGCUAGUUGGUAAGGUAAUGGCUUACCAAGGCGAUGAUGCAUAGCCGAGUUGAGAGACUGAUCGGCCACAAUGGGACUGAGACACGGCCCAUACUCCUACGGGAGGCAGCAGUAGGGAAUCUUCCACAAUGGGCGAAAGCCUGAUGGAGCAACGCCGCGUGUGUGAUGAAGGGUUUCGGCUCGUAAAACACUGUUGUAAGAGAAGAAUGACAUUGAGAGUAACUGUUCAAUGUGUGACGGUAUCUUACCAGAAAGGAACGGCUAAAUACGUGCCAGCAGCCGCGGUAAUACGUAUGUUCCAAGCGUUAUCCGGAUUUAUUGGGCGUAAAGCGAGCGCAGACGGUUAUUUAAGUCUGAAGUGAAAGCCCUCAGCUCAACUGAGGAAUUGCUUUGGAAACUGGAUGACUUGAGUGCAGUAGAGGAAAGUGGAACUCCAUGUGUAGCGGUGAAAUGCGUAGAUAUAUGGAAGAACACCAGUGGCGAAGGCGGCUUUCUGGACUGUAACUGACGUUGAGGCUCGAAAGUGUGGGUAGCAAACAGGAUUAGAUACCCUGGUAGUCCACACCGUAAACGAUGAGUGCUAGGUGUUUGAGGGUUUCCGCCCUUAAGUGCCGCAGCUAACGCAUUAAGCACUCCGCCUGGGGAGUACGACCGCAAGGUUGAAACUCAAAGGAAUUGACGGGGACCCGCACAAGCGGUGGAGCAUGUGGUUUAAUUCGAAGCAACGCGAAGAACCUUACCAGGUCUUGACAUCCCUUGACAACUCCAGAGAUGGAGCGUUCCCUUCGGGGACAAGGUGACAGGUGGUGCAUGGUUGUCGUCAGCUCGUGUCGUGAGAUGUUGGGUUAAGUCCCGCAACGAGCGCAACCCUUAUUACUAGUUGCCAGCAUUCAGUUGGGCACUCUAGUGAGACUGCCGGUGACAAACCGGAGGAAGGUGGGGAUGACGUCAAAUCAUCAUGCCCCUUAUGACCUGGGCUACACACGUGCUACAAUGGCGUAUACAACGAGUUGCCAACCCGCGAGGGUGAGCUAAUCUCUUAAAGUACGUCUCAGUUCGGAUUGUAGGCUGCAACUCGCCUACAUGAAGUCGGAAUCGCUAGUAAUCGCGGAUCAGCACGCCGCGGUGAAUACGUUCCCGGGUCUUGUACACACCGCCCGUCA
rnacentral:rRNA from 1 species